rnacentral:rRNA from 1 species
GGCGAACGGGUGAGGAACAGGAGGGUGAUCUGCCUCGCACUUCGGGAUAAGCCUGGGAAACUGGGUCUAAUACCGGAUAUGACCUUUCAGUGCAUGCUGUUGGGUGGAAAGAUUUAUCGGUGCGAGAUGGGCCCGCGGCCUAUCAGCUUGUUGGCGGGGUAACGGCCCACCAAGGCGACGACGGGUAGCCGACCUGAGAGGGUGACCGGCCACACUGGGACUGAGACACGGCCCAGACUCCUACGGGAGGCAGCAGUGGGGAAUAUUGCACAAUGGGCGGAAGCCUGAUGCAGCGACGCCGCGUGAGGGAUGACGGCCUUCGGGUUGUAAACCUCUUUCGACAGGGACGAAGCGCAAGUGACGGUACCUGUAGAAGAAGCACCGGCCAACUACGUGCCAGCAGCCGCGGUAAUACGUAGGGUGCGAGCGUUGUCCGGAAUUACUGGGCGUAAAGAGCUUGUAGGCGGUUUGUCGCGUCGUCCGUGAAAACUUGGGGCUCAACCCCAAGCUUGCGGGCGAUACGGGCAGACUUGAGUACUUCAGGGGAGACUGGAAUUCCUGGUGUAGCGGUGAAAUGCGCAGAUAUCAGGAGGAACACCGGUGGCGAAGGCGGGUCUCUGGGAAGUAACUGACGCUGAGAAGCGAAAGCGUGGGUAGCGAACAGGAUUAGAUACCCUGGUAGUCCACGCCGUAAACGGUGGGUACUAGGUGUGGGUUUCCUUCCACGGGAUCCGUGCCGUAGCUAACGCAUUAAGUACCCCGCCUGGGGAGUACGGCCGCAAGGCUAAAACUCAAAGGAAUUGACGGGGGCCCGCACAAGCGGCGGAGCAUGUGGAUUAAUUCGAUGCAACGCGAAGAACCUUACCUGGGUUUGACAUACACCGGAAACCUGCAGAGAUGUAGGCCCCCUUGUGGUCGGUGUACAGGUGGUGCAUGGCUGUCGUCAGCUCGUGUCGUGAGAUGUUGGGUUAAGUCCCGCAACGAGCGCAACCCUUGUCCUGUGUUGCCAGCGCGUAAUGGCGGGGACUCGCAGGAGACUGCCGGGGUCAACUCGGAGGAAGGUGGGGACGACGUCAAGUCAUCAUGCCCCUUAUGUCCAGGGCUUCACACAUGCUACAAUGGCCGGUACAGAGGGCUGCGAUACCGUGAGGUGGAGCGAAUCCCUUAAAGCCGGUCUCAGUUCGGAUCGGGGUCUGCAACUCGACCCCGUGAAGUUGGAGUCGCUAGUAAUCGCAGAUCAGCAACGCUGCGGUGAAUACGUUCCCGGGCCUU